rnacentral:rRNA from 1 species
GAUGAACGCUGGCGGCGUGCCUAAUACAUGCAAGUCGAGCGAACAGACGAGGAGCUUGCUCCUCUGACGUUAGCGGCGGACGGGUGAGUAACACGUGGAUAACCUACCUAUAAGACUGGGGUAACUUCGGGAAGCCGGAGCUAAUACCGGAUAAUAUAUUGAACCGCAUGGUUCAAUAGUGAAAGACGGUUUUGCUGUCACUUAUAGAUGGAUCCGCGCCGCAUUAGCUAGUUGGUAAGGUAACGGCUUACCAAGGCGACGAUGCGUAGCCGACCUGAGAGGGUGAUCGGCCACACUGGAACUGAGACACGGUCCAGACUCCUACGGGAGGCAGCAGUAGGGAAUCUUCCGCAAUGGGCGAAAGCCUGACGGAGCAACGCCGCGUGAGUGAUGAAGGUCUUCGGAUCGUAAAACUCUGUUAUUAGGGAAGAACAAAUGUGUAAGUAACUAUGCACGUCUUGACGGUACCUAAUCAGAAAGCCACGGCUAACUACGUG